CAGCAGCCGCGGUAACACGUAGGUGGCAAGCGUUGUCCGGAAUUAUUGGGCGUAAAGGGCUCGCAAGCGGUUUCUUAAGUCUGAUGUGAAAGCCCCCGGCUCAACCGGGGAGGGUCAUUGGAAACUGGGAAACUUGAGUGCAGAAGAGGAGAGUAGAAUUCCACGUGUAGCGGUGAAAUGCGUAGAGAUGUGGAGGAACACCAGUGGCGAAGGCGACUCUCUGGUCUGUAACUGACGCUGAGGAGCGAAAGCGUGGGGAGCGAACAGGAUUAGAGACCCCCGUAGUCCCUGUCUCUUAUAA
rnacentral:rRNA from 1 species